GUCAAUGUUACAUCACGACAACAUUUUUAUCCACUUCGAAUAUUUUGCUUAAUUUUUUAUAUACGUAUAGCAAUCGUCACUAGAAUUUACUAAUUAAUAUAAACUAUUAAAGAUUAAUCAUAAGUAGUUCUUCAAACUUAAUUCCAUUUUCUCGUAUGCAGUAAAUUAUGAUGGAAUAAAUAUGAAAAAUGCAAAUGAUGUCUUGAAGUUUAUACUACAACUAAGGAUUACAUUAACAGUUCUUAUUUGUAUUUUAAAAUGUUCCAAUUGAAUACACAUAAAUUGUUCAUAAGUUCCUGUUAUAUGUAGUAAAGGUCCAUUAUUAUGUUUUUCUCUAUAAAUGGGAAAAUCUUUUGAGGUAAGUAAAAAUUUUUCAUCACGUGCUGAUCUGUCUUCUGUAAUUCUAUUAUACAUUUCUGUUAUAGCAUAACGUCCAGAUUUUAAGUACUUUUUUAAUCUGCCCAAAUAGUUUUCAUACCAAAAAGCAUUGAAGUAAUUGAUGUUACCAUAUUUUAGUACAUCGUUGGGAAGAUGAAAAACAUUUGAAGAAGGUAAUACAGCAUUGAGCAACUACACCUCAGAUGAGUCUCACAUAAAACCUUAUAAACGUUUAAUAGUUCCCAAUAAACGUUUAUUAAGUUCUGAUGAUGAACAGGUUUUUAAAAAGAUAAAAAAUACAAAUGCAUUUUCAAUGCCAGAUAUGCCAACAUAUGAAUCUUUUGAUAAUGAAGAAAAUUUGCAUCUGAAUUUAGAUUCAAUAGCAUUAAAAGACUGUUCCAAUAAUCAAGAAAAUCAAUUAUAGAUGUUGUUUAUGUUUUACAAAAUAUUACAGAAACAGAAUAUAAGACUUACUUAGGUCAGUGACUCAGACAAGCCAGCAACAGAAAAAAUGAAAAAAAAAACCUUAUAGUUUGAUAUAUAUAUGUGGGAAA